rnacentral:rRNA from 1 species
GGGGUGCUCGAGUGGCGAACGGGUGAGUAACACGUGAGUAACCUGCCCUUGACUUUGGGAUAACUUCAGGAAACUGGGGCUAAUACCGGAUAGGAGCUCCUGCUGCAUGGUGGGGGUUGGAAAGUUUCGGCGGUUGGGGAUGGACUCGCGGUUUAUCAGCUUGUUGGUGGGGUAGUGGCUUACCAAGGCUUUGACGGGUAGCCGGCCUGAGAGGGUGACCGGCCACAUUGGGACUGAGAUACGGCCCAG